GCAGUCGUGGCCGAGUGGUUAAGGCGAUGAACUAGAAAUCCAUUGGGGUCUCCCCGCACAGGUUCGAAUCCUGUCAACUGCA
rnacentral:tRNA from 2 species